GUACAAGCUUCAGCAACACAUGUACUAAAACUGAAAUGAUAUAGAGAAGACACACAUGACCCCCGAGCAAGGAUGACAUGCAAAUUUAUGGAACAUUCCAUAUUUUU